ensembl:lncRNA MYHAS myosin heavy chain gene cluster antisense RNA
CUUUCUCUCUUCGCCUGCUGCCGUCCAUGUAAGAUGGGACUUGCUCCUCCUUGCCUUCCACCAUGAUUGUGAGGCUUCCUCAGCCACGUGGAACUAUCCAUAAUGGAUUCCUGGGACAUUUUCAGAUCUCCUUCCAGCUUCCUCUUCGCCCUUUCCAAGUCCGCCCGCAGUUUCUUCUCCUGCUCUAAGGAACCCUCAAGCUGAGAAGACACACAGAGACAAGGGCUUGCUCUGUUGCCCAAGCUAAAGUGCAGUGGUGUGAGUGUAGCCCACUGCAUCCUCACACUCCUGUGCUCAAGUGAUCCUCCCACCUCAGCCUCCCAAGUAGCUGGAACUACAAGGAAACAACCCAAUUUGCCAUCUUAAUUUGGAGUCUACUUUUUCUGAAUGACUCAGUUUUCUCUGAUACUUAAUCAAGAUGCAGCCUUGGGGGAAAAUGUCAUGUCCCAGUCUCCCCCAUGUUCCUUUCCCUUCAUCCCACUUUGUCCCCGGGGUCUAGCAUGACUGUGUGUUUGGAUUGGGGAAGUGAAGGCAGGAAAGUCGCUUCCCCAAAUCCGCAUCCACACAGGGUCUUAUGUUAGAGUUGAUGUUAUCUCUAGGCGAGGUUAUGCAAUGUAGUUACAGAGACAUUGUGAUUAGAUUCAAAGAAAAUGAUUUUCAUCAUUGAAGUUUACGCAUGUGCCCAUUUCCUAUUUAUUACAUUCCCUGGCCCAGAGGACAUUAGGCUUUCAUUUUUAAAAAAUGAUCUCAUUAUCUAAUGAAUAAUUAUAUUUCAUAUAUUUUAUUAAUUUAUUAAAUGUAUGCAUUUAAAAUGGCAUAUAAUGUUAAAACUCUAUGUUGGCUACUAUUUAAAAGUAUAUUUACUGGUAAUCUUAAAAA